GACGAACGCUGGCGGCGUGCUUAACACAUGCAAGUCGAACGGAAAGGCCCUGCUUUUGUGGGGUGCUCGAGUGGCGAACGGGUGAGUAACACGUGAGUAACCUGCCCUUGACUUUGGGAUAACUUCAGGAAACUGGGGCUAAUACCGGAUAGGAGCUCCUGUUGCAUGGUGGGGGUUGGAAAGUUUCGGCGGUUGGGGAUGGACUCGCGUGUGAUCAGCGUGUUGGUGGGGUAGUGGCCUACCAAGGCGUUGCCUGGUAGCUGGUCGGAGAGGGUGACCAGCCACAGUGGGACUGAGACACGGCCCAAACUCCUACGGGAGGCAGCAGUGGGGAAUAUUGGACAAUGGGCGCAAGCCUGAUCCAGCCAUGCCGCGUGAGUGAUGAAGGCCUUAGGGUUGUAAAGCUCUGUCACCGGAGAAGAUAAUGACGGUAUCCGGAGAAGAAGCCCCGGCUAACUUCGUG
rnacentral:rRNA from 1 species